UAAUACUGGAUAGGCAAUUAUUCCUGUAAUGGUUUUUUGUUUAAAUGUUUUUUCGCCUAAGGAUGGGUCUGCGGCCGAUUAGGUAGUUGGUUAGGUAAUGGCUUACCAAGCCUUUGAUCGGUACGGGUUGUGAGAGCAAGAGCCCGGAGAUGGAACCUGAGACAAGGUUCCAGGCCCUACGGGGUGCAGCAGGCGCGAAACCUCCGCAAUGUGAGAAAUCGCGACGGGGGGAUCCCAAGUGCCAUUCUUAACGGGAUGGCUUUUCUUUAGUGUAAAAAGCUUUUGGAAUAAGAGCUGGGCAAGACCGGUGCCAGCCGCCGCGGUAACACCGGCAGCUCUAGUGGUAGCAAUUUUUAUUGGGCCUAAAGCGUCCGUAGCCGGUUUAAUAAGUCUCUGGUGGAAUCCUGUAGCUUAACUGUGGGAAUUGCUGGAGAUACUAUUAGACUUGAGACCGGGAGAGGUUAGAGGUACUCCCAGGGUAGAGGUGAAAUUCUGUAAUCCUGGGAGGACCGCCUGUUGCGAAGGCGUCUAACUGGAACGGUUCUGACGGUGAGGGACGAAAGUUAGGGGCGCGAACCGGAUUAGAUACCCGGGUAGUCCUAACUGUAAACGAUGCGGACUUGGUGU
rnacentral:rRNA from 1 species